CAAUAGCGUAUAUUAAAGUUGUUGCAGUUAAAAAGCUCGUAGUUGGAUUUGUGGUGUACUUCGGCGGCCCGUCACUAUGUGAUGGAGCUUGCUGAAGUCGCCAUCCUUGGGUGGAUCCUGUGUGGCAUUAAGUUGUCGUGCAGGGGAUGCCCAUCGUUUACUGUGAAAAAAUUAGAGUGUUCAAAGCAGGCUUAUGCCGUUGAAUAUAUUAGCAUGGAAUAAUAAGAUAGGACCUUGGUACUAUUUUGUUGGUUUGCGCACCAAGGUAAUGAUUAAUAGGGACAGUUGGGGGUAUUCGUAUUUCAUUGUCAGAGGUGAAAUUCUUGGAUUUUUGAAAGACGAACUACUGCGAAANCNUUUACCNAGGAUGUUUUNAUUAA
rnacentral:rRNA from 1 species